CAAGAUGGCUGCAGAUGGACCAUUCUUCCCAUAUUUUAACAUAUUGCAAUAUCAAAGUCUGUUGUAAGCAAUAGUUUUGUGAAGCUGGGAGCUGUAUGUCCGUCAGAAAUGUUUCAAUACAACGAUCAACUGACUACAGACAUAUGGUGCAAGCUUCGAGUGAUCAUUGCAUUACUAAAGUUGAAGUCCAAGCUUAGUGACGAAGUAGUUUGUGGGAUUACAGAUCAUAACAUCAAAGUAGUAAAACAUCUACCUAACUUAUUUAAUACUAGACGAUUGCUUUAACAACAAAUGUCUGCAAUUAUCAGCCCAAAACAGCUGUAUAAGACAAGGCGCCUAUGGAAACGCUUGAAGAAAAGGUUAUAUUAUUAAAUGGUUAAAUUGUCAUUCUUUUCUUCCAUUGAUGAAGAGACGCUGUUCCAAAUAACUAUCCAUUGUUUUCUACAAACUUUUAAAUAAGCUUUAGAAAAAAAUUACAGUAGUACGGUUUGAGAUAACCCCAUCCUUUCUGUAGUGGUAAUCAAAAGUUAAACAUCUAA